GUGGGGAGGAAUAAAAUUGGACUGCAAGGGGGAGCAGCUGAAUGCCUAUGGCCCAUCGACUACAGUGGGGGUUUGUGGAGGCACAGAUGGGAGAACCAGCUUAAAGCCACUUGGGAAACAGUUACGGUAAUGAGACAUCACAAGGGCUUGUAAAAAGGGCUGGAAUUUACAGUCUUCAAGGAUGGCUAUCCUUGUUUGGAAUCAUAGUAUGUAAGAACCAGAAAGUACCUCUGAGAUUACCUCGUCCGACCCUCUCAUUUUACAAGUGAGGGAACCAAGCCCCUUUAGGGAAAGAUCUCUUCUGUGAUGGAUGCUUUUAAUGACACCUGGAGUCCCGACACAGAAAAGGCCAGGCUCGGCAAUCACAAUGAGCAAGGAAAUCAGGCACACAGACAGAAAUACUGUGACAAAAGAAAACCUAACAAGAAGAACCUCAUAAGAGAGAAAACAUGGAGUAAGCCAACAGUAUAAUCCAUGGUACAUGUGGCAUAGUUGUUUUUGUGGGGCUCAAUUUGAAGUGAUAUACAAUUGAUGUUU
rnacentral:lncRNA from 1 species